CCUACGGGAGGCAGCAGUGGGGAAUUUUGGACAAUGGGGGCAACCCUGAUCCAGCAAUGCCGCGUGUGCGAAGAAGGCCUUCGGGUUGUAAAGCACUUUUGUCAGGGAAGAAAUCUUUUGGGUGAAUACCCCGGAAGGAUGACGGUACCUGAAGAAUAAGCACCGGCUAACUACGUGCCAGCAGCCGCGGUAAUACGUAGGGUGCAAGCGUUAAUCGGAAUUACUGGGCGUAAAGCGUGCGCAGGCGGUUCGCUAAGACAGUCGUGAAAUCCCCGGGCUUAACCUGGGAACUGCGAUUGUGACUGGCGAGCUAGAGUACGGCAGAGGGGGGUGGAAUUCCUGGUGUAGCAGUGAAAUGCGUAGAGAUCAGGAGGAACACCGAUGGCGAAGGCAGCCCCCUGGGCUAGUACUGACGCUCAUGCACGAAAGCGUGGGGAGCAAGCAGGAUUAGAUACCCUGGUAGUCCACGCCCUAAACGAUGUCGAUUAGUUGUUGGUUCUUCAUUGAAUCAGUAACGAAGCUAACGCGUGAAAUCGACCGCCUGGGGAGUACGGUCGCAAGAUUAAAACUCAAAGGAAUUGACGG
rnacentral:rRNA from 1 species